rnacentral:rRNA from 1 species
GACGAACGCUGGCGGCGUGCCUAAUACAUGCAAGUCGAACGCAUUUUCUUUCACCGUAGCUUGCUACACCGAAAGAAAAUGAGUGGCGAACGGGUGAGUAACACGUGGGUAACCUGCCCAUCAGCGGGGGAUAACACUUGGAAACAGGUGCUAAUACCGCAUAAUUCCAUUUACUGCAUGGUAGAUGGAUGAAAGGCGCUUUUGCGUCACUGAAGGAUGGACCCGCGGUGCAUUAGCUAGUUGGUGGGGUAACGGACUACCAAGGCUGCGAUGCAUAGCCGACCGGAGAGGGUGAUCAGCCGGCCUGGGACUGAGACACGGCCCAGACUCCUACAGGAGGCAGCAGUAGGGCAUCUUCGGCAAUGGACGCAAGUCUGACCGAGCAACGCCGCGUGAGUGAAGAAGGUUUUCGGAUCGUAAAACUCUGUUUUUAGAAAAGAACAAGGAUGAGAGUGGAAAGUUCAUCCCUUGACGGUAUCUAACCAGAAAGCCACGGCUAACUACGUG